AGCGAAGAAGACUGGAAACAACACGCGAACUGGUAGUAGUUUGUAUAUGAGGAGGUUUAUAUGGUACUACCGAAAACAGCCAGGAAAACUGAGUCGUCAUGCAUGUUUGCCAGCGGUGUGUGAGUUUGUUGCUCUCGAGGCCUUUAUCUGCAGCUCUCCAGCACUCGACUCGCGCACUGCAUCAGCGCUCACAUCUCACACUGCUGCAGCACAGCACCAGACACACACUCUCACAGAGACACAGCAGACAGACAUGGAGACACUUCGCGGACCACCAAGCUGCUUCGCCAGAUGUCUAUAAUAAGAUUGAUCUUGCGCAAAAACAGGUUGUGCCAUUAAAUUCUGAAGUGCAUCGAAUAGAUUUGGAUGCAGCUGUGCAUACUUCACCGCUCCAGGAAAUCAGCGAGGAGGAAGCAGUCCAGAUCCAAGUACCUUCUGCCCUUCCACCAGAAUCUUCCACGCUCAGACCUUAUGUGGAUAAAUCAGAAACUCUCAGC